GUGGGGAAUAUUGGACAAUGGGCGAAAGCCUGAUCCAGCCAUGCCGCGUGUGUGAAGAAGGUCUUCGGAUUGUAAAGCACUUUAAGUUGGGAGGAAGGGCAGUAAGUUAAUACCUUGCUGUUUUGACGUUACCGACAGAAUAAGCACCGGCUAACUUCGUGCCAGCAGCCGCGGUAAUACGAAGGGUGCAAGCGUUAAUCGGAAUUACUGGGCGUAAAGCGCGCGUAGGUGGUUGUGUAAGUUGGAGGUGAAAUCCCCGGGCUCAACCUGGGAACUGCCUCAAAAACUGGAUGACUAGAGUACGGUAGAGGGUAGUGGAAUUUCCUGUGUAGCGGUGAAAUGCGUAGAUAUAGGAAGGAACACCAGUGGCGAAGGCGACUACCUGGACUGAUACUGACACUGAGGUGCGAAAGCGUGGGGAGCAAACAGGAUUAGAUACCCUAGUAGUCC
rnacentral:rRNA from 1 species